GGCAGAUUUGGAGCCGGCUGUCGCUUGAUUUCGUUGAUUUUAUAUCUUUGCUGAUGCGAUUUGACAGCCUAUUGCAGAUCUGUUUUGCCAGGGGAUUUCGGCUUUGUAGAAGAUAGCGUUUGAUUUGCUUCUUGGCCUCAAUCAACUGGAGAGUCUGGCUUUUGACUCGAAACCUAGAUCUGGUUAUCUUGCGUGGACACUGCGCAUUGGCAAAGUUUGCAGCAUCUUGGACGUUUUUGACAAGAAUAUCAACAGCAUCAUCAACAUCAUCUGGACUGCUGAUUUCAGUGUUGAAAGAUGGCCUUUUGCUUUGCUGAUGAUCGGCUUCUCAACCAGCUGGACUUGCAAUGGGAGGUGAUCCGAGUUUAGCUCGAAAGAGUCAGUGAUGGCCAGCAAAUCUCGCCUGAUGCCUUUGAAAAGCGCAAAGUCUAUGGCAGAUGGAGUUUGGCGUGAGUUGAAAGGGAUCUGGCGUUU
rnacentral:sRNA from 1 species